rnacentral:rRNA from 1 species
GCUAAGUUGAUGGCGACCGGCGCACGGGUGAGUAACACGUAUCCACCUGCCGAUGACUCGGGGAUAGCCUUUCGAAAGAAAGAUUAAUACCCGAUGGCUCCGCAUGGUUAAAGAAUUUCGGUCAUCGAUGGGGAUGCGUUCCAUUAGGUUGUUGGCGGGGUAACGGCCCACCAAGCCUUCGAUGGAUAGGGGUUCUGAGAGGAAGGUCCCCCACAUUGGAACUGAGACACGGUCCAAACUCUACGGGAGGCAGCAGUGAGGAAUAUUGGUCAAUGGACGAGAGUCUGAACCAGCCAAGUAGCGUGAAGGAUGACUGCCUAUGGGUUGUAAACUUCUUUUAUACGGGAAUAAGUGAGGCACGUGUGCCUUUUUGUAUGUACCGUAUGAAUAAGGAUCGGCUAACUCCGUGCCAGCAGCCGCGGUAAUACGGAGGAUCCGAGCGUUAUCCGGAUUUAUUGGGUUUAAAGGGAGCGUAGGCGGACGCUUAAGUCAGUUGUGAAAGUUUGCGGCUCAACCGUAAAAUUGCAGUUGAUACUGGGUGUCUUGAGUACAGUAGAGGCAGGCGGAAUUCGUGGUGUAGCGGUGAAAUGCUUAGAUAUCACGAAGAACUCCGAUUGCGAAGGCAGCUUGCUGGACUGUAACUGACGCUGAUGCUCGAAAG